rnacentral:rRNA from 1 species
CGAACGCUGGCGGCAGGCCUAAUACAUGCAAGUCGAACGGCUCUUCGGAGCAGUGGCGGACGGGUGAGUAACGCGUGGGAAUGUGCCCUUAGGUACGGAACAACACAGGGGAACUUGUGCUAAUACCGUAUGUGCCCUUCGGGGGAAAGAUUUAUCGCCUUUGGAGCAGCCCGCGUUGGAUUAGCUAGUUGGUGAGGUAAAGGCUCACCAAGGCGACGAUCCAUAGCUGGUCUGAGAGGAUGACCAGCCACACUGGGACUGAGACACGGCCCAGACUCCUACGGGAGGCAGCAGUAGGGAAUCUUGCGCAAUGGGCGAAAGCCUGACGCAGCCAUGCCGCGUGUAUGAUGAAGGUCUUAGGAUUGUAAGAUACUUUCACCGGGGAAGAUAAUGACGGUACCCGGAGAAGAAGCCCCGGCUAACUUCGUGCCAGCCGCCGCCGUAACAC